rnacentral:rRNA from 1 species
GAUGAACGCUGGCGGCGUGCCUAAUACAUGCAAGUCGAGCGAACAGACGAGGAGCUUGCUCCUCUGACGUUAGCGGCGGACGGGUGAGUAACACGUGGAUGACCUACCUAUAAGACUGGGAUAACUUCGGGAAACCGGAGCUAAUACCGGAUAAUAUAUUGAACCGCAUGGUUCAAUAGUGAAAGACGGUUUUGCUGUCACUUAUAGAUGGAUCCGCGCCGCAUUAGCUAGUUGGUAAGGUAACGGCUUACCAAGGCAACGAUGCGUAGCCGACCUGAGAGGGUGAUCGGCCACACUGGAACUGAGACACGGUCCAGACUCCUACGGGAGGCAGCAGUAGGGAAUCUUCCGCAAUGGGCGAAAGCCUGACGGAGCAACGCCGCGUGAGUGAUGAAGGUCUUCGGAUCGUAAAACUCUGUUAUUAGGGAAGAACAAAUGUGUAAGUAACUAUGCACGUCUUGACGGUACCUAAUCAGAAAGCCACGGCUAACUACGU